rnacentral:misc_RNA from 1 species
GAUGAAGAACGUAGCGAAAUGCGAUAAGUAAUGUGAAUUGCAGAAUUCAGUGAAUCAUCGAAUCUUUGAACGCACAUUGCGCCCCCUGGUAUUCCGGGGGGCAUGCCUGUUCGAGCGUCAUUUCACCACUCAAGCCUCGCUUGGUAUUGGGCAACGCGGUCCGCCGCGUGCCUCAAAUCGACCGGCUGGGUCUUCUGUCCCCUAAGCGUUGUGGAAACUAUUCGCUAAAGGGUGUUCGGGAGGCUACGCCGUAAAACAACCCCAUUUCUAAGGUUGACCUCGGAUCAGGUAGGGAUACCCGCUGAACUUAAGCAUAUCAAUAAGCGGAGGG